rnacentral:lncRNA from 1 species
UCAGCCUCUAAUGCCAGUGUCUCGUAGCUGACUUCCAUUCCUUUUCCCAAUGAAAAUAGAUGAGAAAAUGGUCAGGACCAAGGAAAGGUGCCAUCUCCUGGGAAAGGACUCCCAGGAUCACCACGGCUUAGCCUACAGCUCACUAACAGGUCACCCCCCAUUCUGCUCUUUCCUCUUCACUGUGCUGAAUCCUUCUGAUUGGUUACCCAGGAAUUUCUGCAAUUUCAACUUCGCUUAGCAGACAAAUAUUGAGUUCAUGUUUCAACUAUCUAGCCAAGCAAAGAAUGGGGACUAUUCUCAUCUUGUUGAGCUACAAAUGGAAUCUAGGCUUUCCUCUAUUUCACUCAUCUUAAAAAUAUGUCCCUUCCACGAUGUUGUGGCACCCUAAGAAUCCAUUCCUACAUAUGUUCCAAG